rfam:Glarea lozoyensis 74030 unplaced genomic scaffold M7I_scaffold1, whole genome shotgun sequence.
GGGGAAUUGGUUUAGUGGUAUAAUGUUCCCUUAGCAACGUCCCCUUCAGGGCUUGUGUUUGGGAGAGGUCGCGAGUUCGAUUCUUGCAUUCUCCA